CCACGCAGCCGGGGAGAUAGCGGUGCCCUGUACCUGCAAUCCGCUACAGCAGGGGUGAUACCAAUCCGAGGGUUUUUAGCUGCAAAGCUGCCUUCUAUAAGUGGUGAUGACGUUUGGGUCUCGUGCAACAGAAAUCUGUGAACCGUGUCAGGGCAGGAAUGCAGCAGCACUAAGCAGAACCUUUUGUGUGACGCGAGGGUGCCUGGAUUGAGCUAACUGUAGGAGUAACGUUUGUGGCGGAAGUUCAAAGUGCGGUGCGUGG
rfam:Firmicutes bacterium CAG:56 genomic scaffold, scf356